rnacentral:rRNA from 1 species
UACGUAGGGUGCAAGCGUUGUCCGGAAUUAUUGGGCGUAAAGAGCUCGUAGGCGGUCUGUCGCGUCGGAUGUGAAAACCCAGGGCUCAACCCUGGGCCUGCAUUCGAUACGGGCAGACUAGAGUUCGGUAGGGGAGACUGGAAUUCCUGGUGUAGCGGUGAAAUGCGCAGAUAUCAGGAGGAACACCGGUGGCGAAGGCGGGUCUCUGGGCCGAAACUGACGCUGAGGAGCAAAAGCGUGGGGAGCAAACAGG